rnacentral:rRNA from 1 species
GAGCGGAUGACGGGAGCUUGCUCCCGUAUUCAGCGGCGGACGGGUGAGUACAUGCCUAGGAAUCUGCAUGAUAGUGGGGGACAACGUGCCGUAAGGAACGAUAAUACAGCAUACGUCAUACGGGAGCAAGUGGGGGAUUAUCGGACCUCACGGCAUCAGAUGAGCGUAGGUCGGAUUAGUUAGUUGGUGAGGUAAUGGUUCACCUAGCAGACGAUCUGUAAAUGGUCUGAGAGGAGGAUCAGUCACACAGGAACUGAGACACGCUCCAGAGUCAUAUGGGAGGCAGCAGUGGGGAAUACUGCACCAUGGGGGUAAGCAUGAUCCAGCCAUUACUGGGUGCGUGAAGAAGGUAUUAGUGCCCCGUCAAGCAGGUCAAUGUCGGGAGGCAGGACUAAUAACGUCAAUACAGUUGAUGAUUCGAAGUUCCAGACAUGAAUAAGCACGGUCUAACUGUAUG